rnacentral:rRNA from 1 species
AGAGUUUGAUCCUGGCUCAGAUUGAACGCUGGCGGCAUGCCUAACACAUGCAAGUCGAACGGUAACGCGGAGAGCUUGCUCUCUGGCGACGAGUGGCGGACGGGUGAGUAAUACUUAGGAAUCUACCCAGUAGUGGGGGACAACAUUCGGAAACGGAUGCUAAUACCGGAUAAGCCCACGGGGUCUUCGGACCUUGCGGGAAAAGGUGGGGACCUUCGGGCCUACUGUCAUCGGAUGAGUCCGCGGCCCAUUAGCUAGUUGGUGGGGUAACGGCCCACCAAGGCAACGAUGGGUAGCUGGUCUGAGAGGAUGAUCAGCCACACUGGCACUGAGACACGGGCCAGACUCCUACGGGAGGCAGCAGUGAGGAAUAUUGCGCAAUGGGCGAAAGCCUGACGCAGCCACGCCGCGUGGAGGAAGACACCCCUAUGGGGCGUAAACUCCUUUUGUGUGAGAAGAAGGCCCUGGUCUCCAGGGUUUGACGGUAUCGCACGAAUAAGCACCGGCUAACUCCGUGCCAGCAGCCGCGGUAAUACGGGGGGUGCAAGCGUUGUUCGGAAUUACUGGGCGUAAAGCGCACGUAGGUGGUUUGUUAAGUCGGAUGUGAAAGCCCCGGGCUCAACCUGGGAAUUGCAUUCGAUACUGGCAGACUAGAGUAUGGUAGAGGGAAGUGGAAUUCCAGGUGUAGCGGUGAAAUGCGUAGAUAUCUGGAGGAACAUCAGUGGCGAAGGCGGCUUCCUGGACUAAUACUGACACUGAGGUGCGAAAGCGUGGGUAGCAAACAGGAUUAGAUACCCUGGUAGUCCACGCCGUAAACGAUGUCAACUAGUUGUUGGGAGGGUUAGACCUCUUAGUGACGCAGCUAACGCAAUAAGUUGACCGCCUGGGGAGUACGGCCGCAAGGUUAAAACUCAAAGGAAUUGACGG